GACGAACGCUGGCGGCGUGCUUAACACAUGCAAGUCGAACGGAAAGGCCUGCUUUCCCUUGUGGAUUGCGGGUACUCGAGUGGCGAACGGGUGAGUAACACGUGGGUGAUCUGCCCCCAACUUGGGUAUAAGCCUGGGAAACUGGGUCUAAUUCCCGAUAGGACUGCAGGGUGGUGCCUGUGGUGGAAAACGAUUUUCUAGUGGUUGGGGAUGAGCUCGCGGCCUAUCAGCUUGUUGGUGGGGUAAUGGCCUACCAAGGCGGCGACGGGUAGCCGGCCUGGGAGGGGGGACGGCCACAUUGGGACUGGGAUACGGCCCCGACGCCUACGGGAGGCAGCAGUGGGGAAUAUUGCACCAUGGGCGGAAGCCUGAUGCAGCGACGCAGCGUGGGGGAUGACGGCCUUCGGGUUGUAAACUCCUUUCGACCGCGAGGAAGCCACCUGGUUGGAAGGGUGGUGACGGUAGUGGUAGAAGAAGCACCGGCUAACUACGUG
rnacentral:rRNA from 1 species